UGAUUANCUAGUUGGUAAGGUAAAAAGCGUACCCAAGGCGACGAUCAGUAGCUUGUCUGAAAAGGAUGAGCAGCCACACUGGGACUGAGACACGGCCCCAGACUCCUACGGGAGGCAGCAGUGGGGAAUUUUCCCGCAAUGGGCGAAAGCCUGACGGAGCAAGACCGCGUGGGGGAGGAAGGUUUUUGGAUCGUAAACCCCUUUUGUCAAGGAAGAAGUUCUGACGGUACUUGACGAAUAAGCCUCGGCUAACUCCGUGCCAGCAGCCGCGGUAAUACGGAGGAGGCAAGCGUUAUCCGGAAUGAUUGGGCGUAAAGCGUCUGUAGGUGGCCAGCUAAGUCUGCUGUUAAAGAUCACAGCUCAACUGUGGGAAGGCAGUGGAAACUGGCAAGCUAGAGGCUGGUAGGGGUAAAGGGAAUUCCCGGUGUAGCGGUGAAAUGCGUAGAUAUCGGGAAGAACACCGGUGGCGAAAGCGCUUUACUGGGCCAGACCUGACACUGAAGGACGAAAGCUAGGGGAGCGAAAGGGAUUAGAUACCCCUGUAGUCCUAGCUGUAAACGAUGGAGACUAGGUGUAGCACGUAUCGACCCGUGCUGUAUCGUAGCCAACGCGUUAAGUCUCCCGCCUGGGGAGUACGCACGCAAGUGUGAAACUCAAAUGAAUUGACGG
rnacentral:rRNA from 1 species